rfam:Aedes albopictus isolate Foshan contig134615, whole genome shotgun sequence.
GGGCCCGUGGCGCAGUGGUCCACGCGUUCGCUUCAUAAGCGGAUGGUCAUGGGUUCGAACCCAGCCCCG